rnacentral:rRNA from 1 species
CGAAAUAUCUUAUUUUUCUUUGUUUUCAGUUUGUAUACCUCCAUUAUUAGGUGUAAUUGAGAAAUUUUUACUUUAAUAUACUAGUUUUAUAAUAUAUUAGGUCAAGGUGCAGCUUAUAGAGGAAUUGAUUGUGGGUUACAUUUUUAUAUAAAUUCGGAGAAAGACUUGAAAUAGAGAUUUGAAGUUGGAUUUAA